GAUGAACGCUGGCGGUAUGCCUAACACAUGCAAGUCGUACGAGAGUUUUUAACUCUAGUGGCGGACGGGUGAGUAACACGUGAGAAUUUGCCUUUAGGAGGGGGAUAACAAUUGGAAACGAAUGCUAAUACCCCAUAUGCUUUUGAGUGAAAUGGAUUUUAUCCGCCUAGAGAGAAGCUCGCGGCUGAUUAGCUUGUUGGUAAGGUAAGAGCUUACCAAGGCGACGAUCAGUAUCUGGUUUGAGAGGACGAUCAGACACACUGGAACUGAGACACGGUCCAGACUCCUACGGGAGGCAGCAGUGGGGAAUUUUGGACAAUGGGCGCAAGCCUGAUCCAGCAAUGCCGCGUGCAGGAAGAAGGCCUUCGGGUUGUAAACUGCUUUGUAUAGGGAGGAAGUAAAAUGACGUGUACCUGAAGAAUAAGCAUCGGCUAACUCCGUG
rnacentral:rRNA from 1 species